AUGACGAAGACGGCAGGGGUUUUGGGCCGGGAUGGUGCUAUAUUUGUCUUGGUCGAUGGCGACCCUUCUUCUACGAAUUUGCCUCGGAUUCCCCAUUUCCUUCCUAUUUCGAUUUCCUCUGGCGCUAGUACAUGUGGAGUUGCUGAACAGAGUUUCAGUUCAGAUUUGUUCGUUGAUUGUUGCGUCCGCUUGUUGGAGAUUUCGUGGAACGCUCUGUGUUUGAGGGGUGCAGCUACAUGCGUCGCUUCAAGAAAGAGCUCCAUGAUUCCCCAAUUCCUUCUAGAAGAAAACCUGGAGCCCAUUAUGUGCACACAGCCUCGGAGGUUUGCGGUGGUAGCCAUUGCUCAAAGGGUGGCUCAUUCUCGCAAGUCGAUGCUAGGACAAGAAGUUGGAUAUCAUAUAGGCCACCCAAAUAUGAAGAAUCUCACCUCAACAAGGUCAAAAAUUGUUUUCAAAACAGCUGGUGUUAUGCUAGAGCAAAUUCGUCAACACGGCAUUGCUGCAUUGCAAUAUAAGGUUAUUAUUCUUGAUGAAAUUCAUGAACGGUCUGUGGAAUCUGAUCUUGUCCUUGCUAUUAUCAAGCAGUUUAUGAUGGAAAAGAGUGACUUCAAGCUGGUUUUGAUGUCUGCCACUGUUGAUAGCACACGAUAUGUUGAUUACUUUAAAGAUAUUGGAAAGGUUGAACUGAUUACCAUCCCGAGCAUCCCAUGCACUAACACGUUCCAGAGAGAAGUCCAUUAUCUUGAGCAGAUUGAUAACAUGCUGAAGAUGGAUUCUGAAUCACUGUCGACAAAGUAUUGUGUUGGAGAACAUUUUAAAACAGAUGCUGUUCUUAGUCCUGACGUGUAUCAUCUUAUCCACACGUUAUUGUUGCACAUACACCAAAGUGAACCAGAUACUGAAAGGAGUAUUUUGGUUUUUGUUCCUACAUACCAUGCAUUGGAGGAGCAGUGGGCUCGGUUGUCUGGUUGUUCAACUUUGAAAGUACAUAUUCUUCAUCGCAGCAUUGACACAGAUGAAGCUUUGGAAACUAUGAAGGCCUCAGAGUCUUGCCGAAAGGUUAUACUGGCGACAAACAUGGCCGAAUCGUCUGUCACUAUUCCAGGAGUUGCUUAUGUUAUUGAUUCCUGUAGAUCAUUGCAAGUCUAUUGGGACCGAACCAGGAAAACCGACUCAACUAAGCUUGUAUGGAUUUCCAAGUCUCAGGCUGAGCAGCGGAAAGGAAGGACAGGCCGAACCUGUGAUGGCCAGAUUUUUCGCUUGGUAACAGAGCCAUUUUACAACGCUUUUCCUGAUCAUGAAAGCCCUGCCAUUUCAAUGUUAUCCUUGAGAGACCAAGCACUCAUGAUAUGUUGUGCAGAGUCCAUAGCUAUGCAUGACGACCCCACUGUGCUGCUGCAAAAAAUUCUCAAUCCACCGGAAUCCAGUGUUAUUAAAGAUGCUCUAGAUACUCUUGUUCAAAUUGAUGCAUUUCAGCCAGCAUUCCCUGGAGGGUAUCAUCCCAGAUUUUAUGGCUAUUUGCUCGAUAGUUUGCCGUUAUCAUUUCAUGCUUCUGUUCUUACCCUGAAAUUUGGUGAGAUGGGGUAUCUCCAUGAAGGAAUCCUGAUAGGCAUUAUGUUGGACAUUCAACCACUUCCUAUACUGCAACCUUUUGGUGAUCAAGCAUUGCGCAAGAAGAUUAGAGAUGAUUAUUUUGAUGAACGUACCUUCCAACAAAUUGGCAAGAAGGAAGCUACAGUCAUCGCAAAUCUCCGGGCAUAUCAGUUUUGGCAGCGUAUGUUUAAGGAUAAGUUUCGUCUGGAGUACCUGACAAAUGUUUCCAAGAACCAAGAAUCAAAUGCAUAUGAGAUCUUGAAAGUUGAACAAGAAUGGUGUAGAUUACACAAUCUCGUGCUGAAAGCACUUAACAACAUCUCCAAAAUUUAUGAUGAUAUUAUGAGCACACUGCACCGGUUUAGGCCUCAAUUUCUUCUGGAAAUCAAUCCUCCAAAGUACCUUCAGACCUCUGAAUUCCACCAUGAAUGUCGUGAUCCUGAAUUGCCGGAGCCAGAGCAUAUGACUUCACUCCCGUUGGAAACUGACAGUUCUCACUUAGAUUCACAGAGGUGUGCUGCAAUCCCUUAUAUUUCUGCAACUGAUUUUGGAGCCACUGACAUUGUUAAUACCCUAAUGAAGGUUAUUGAAAAGAUGAAGAUAGAACUUGCAGUGACGUGUGUGGACUACCAUGAUGGAUCUAGUGAAACAUACAGAGGACCUCUUAACAAUUUAUCCAAUGCCUCAAAACGAGCAUGCAAGUUCUUCCUCACAUUAAAGGGUUGUAGAAAUGGCGACUCUUGUUCAUUUGCACACAAUCUUGGCUCUUUGAGCUCUUCAUCUGUUACUUCUAAAAUGAAUCCAGAAGAUCCACCAUGGCCGCAGGCUGACAUAGGUUGGAGGAAGUUAGUGACUGGAGGUGAAAAUAGUCACAUUCUUGUCGUGAAUGACAAAAAUCUGAAGUUUUCCUCUCAACUUCAUAACAUGGUUGACAUUACACCUGAUCUGCAUUUGGCUGAGCGUAAUUUAGUUGCAAACAAUCUGAGAAAAGUCCAGAAUGUCGCUGAUCCUUCUCAUCUAACUAUUGGAGAUGAACAUGAACUACCAGUUCCUUGGACGAGACUAAAGCGAAUUAUUUUGGUAGAUGAUUAUGAUUCUGGUUCAACACUCAACCACAAGUCUUGCAGAAGUUCUUUGAGAAUAUUGCCAUCAAGAUAUUGUCGGGACCAUUAUCUAGUGGAAAAAUUGGCAAGGGAGUGUUUCUUCGUUCUUGGUGAAUCAUUCCUGUUAAAUGUAGCGCCUCUUAAGUGGUUUCCGAUCAUGGGCAUCCGUCAACUUGAUGGGCAGGUAGCAGGACAAGUUGCUUACGUUUUCAACAUGCAUCCUCCUUCGGGGGCGGGCAUUCGGCGGGGCGAUUUUGCAACACAAGAGAACUGA
rnacentral:rRNA from 1 species